GCAUAGACGAUGAGCAGCUGAGGCAGUGACUGAAGGCGAUGCGUUAAGCUUAAAAAGCUCACUUAAGCGCCUUUAUGUUUCUUUCUUACCAAUUUUAAGCCAACUGAGGAACACCCUUAUCCCAAGUAAUGGUUCGACUACGAUGUUCCGGUAACUUUAAACCACGCCGGGUGUUGAAAAGGUGGCCAGUUUCAGAUGCAUUGAUGUGAUGCAGUGGACAACUGUGAGGAUGAUACAAUCAACAUGUUCCUAAACUGUGAUGCAGAAACACAAUGGGAGGAUCCAUCCGUCUCUGACCACAACUACACUUUAAAAUCACAACUCAACCUGAAGCAACCUACAUCUGAUAUGGGAAAACAAUGGUGCGGUUUCCCGGACAGGGCUUAUGCUGGUCCCAGGCUAAAAUGCAUAUUUGAGCUACAAUAAUUUAAAAACACCUUUUACUGACAUACCUCAACAUAUAUGAGUGCCAUUGUUUUGUCACAAGAUGCGCACCAGUCUUGUUUUUUUGUAGGGUUUGUUUGUAAAAACUAAAAUGUCCUAAUAUAAUUAAAUCCUAGUCCUGUAAACCCUGUCCGAGAAACUGCUUCAAUGUGUUGAGCUGGCACAAAUGUACAUAUCUCUGCUGAGAAACAACCAUCUUUGGUUCAGCUUUACAGAGGGUUGAUAUUGCAUCCAUUACGCAGUCGCCAAGCACUUUACCAAUACAUACACCAACAGCUUCCAGAUAAACACUUGGGAUCAGCUCCUGAUGACUCCGAUAAAGCUGUGUCUUAAUUUAUUGCAGGAUGGUCUUGCUUUACCUGUUGUAAAGUUACAUUAAACCUUCAUAUGUGAUCAGAUGUCAUGCAGUGAUAUUAAACAUUUACAGUGUGA